rnacentral:rRNA from 1 species
GAUGAACGCUGGCGGCGUGCCUAAUACAUGCAAGUCGAGCGAACAGAUAAGGAGCUUGCCCCUUUGACGUUAGCGGCGGACGGGUGAGUAACACGUGGAUAACCUACCUAUAAGACUGGGAUAACUUCGGGAAACCGGAGCUAAUACCGGAUAACAUAUUGAACCGCAUGGUUCAAUAGUGAAAGGCGGCUUUGCUGUCACUUAUAGAUGGAUCCGCGCCGUAUUAGCUAGUUGGUAAGGUAACGGCUUACCAAGGCAACGAUACGUAGCCGACCUGAGAGGGUGAUCGGCCACACUGGAACUGGAACAGGGUCCAGACUCCUACGGGAGGCAGCAGUAGGGAAUCUUCCGCAAUGGGCGAAAGCCUGACGGAGCAACGCCGCGUGAGUGAUGAAGGUCUUCGGAUCGUAAAACUCUGUUAUCAGGGAAGAACAAAUGUGUAAGUAACUGUGCACAUCUUGACGGUACCUGAUCAGAAAGCCACGGCUAACUACGUG